GACGAACGCUGGCGGCGUGCCUAAUACAUGCAAGUAGAACGCUGAAGAGAGGAGCUUGCUCUUCUUGGAUGAGUUGCGAACGGGUGAGUAACGCGUAGGUAACCUGCCCUGUAGCGGGGGAUAACUAUUGGAAACGAUAGCUAAUACCGCAUAACAAUGGAUGACACAUGUCAUUUAUUUGAAAGGGGCAAUUGCUCCACUACAAGAUGGACCUGCGUUGUAUUAGCUAGUAGGUGAGGUAACGGCUCACCUAGGCGACGAUACAUAGCCGACCUGAGAGGGUGAUCGGCCACACUGGGACUGAGACACGGCCCAGACUCCUACGGGAGGCAGCAGUAGGGAAUCUUCGGCAAUGGGGGCAACCCUGACCGAGCAACGCCGCGUGAGUGAAGAAGGUUUUCGGAUCGUAAAGCUCUGUUGUAAGUCAAGAACGAGUGUGAGAGUGGAAAGUUCACACUGUGACGGUAGCUUACCAGAAAGGGACGGCUAACUACGUGCCAGCAGCCGCGGUAAUACGUAGGUCCCGAGCGUUGUCCGGAUUUAUUGGGCGUAAAGCGAGCGCAGGCGGUUUGAUAAGUCUGAAGUUAAAGGCUGUGGCUCAACCAUAGUUCGCUUUGGAAACUGUCAAACUUGAGUGCAGAAGGGGAGAGUGGAAUUCCAUGUGUAGCGGUGAAAUGCGUAGAUAUAUGGAGGAACACCGGUGGCGAAAGCGGCUCUCUGGUCUGUAACUGACGCUGAGGCUCGAAAGCGUGGGGAGCGAACAGGAUUAGAUACCCUGGUAGUCCACGCCGUAAACGAUGAGUGCUAGGUGUUGGAUCCUUUCCGGGAUUCAGUGCCGCAGCUAACGCAUUAAGCACUCCGCCUGGGGAGUACGACCGCAAGGUUGAAACUCAAAGGAAUUGACGGGGGCCCGCACAAGCGGUGGAGCAUGUGGUUUAAUUCGAAGCAACGCGAAGAACCUUACCAGGUCUUGACAUCCCGAUGCUAUUUCUAGAGAUAGAAAGUUACUUCGGUACAUCGGUGACAGGUGGUGCAUGGUUGUCGUCAGCUCGUGUCGUGAGAUGUUGGGUUAAGUCCCGCAACGAGCGCAACCCCUAUUGUUAGUUGCCAUCAUUCAGUUGAGCACUCUAGCGAGACUGCCGGUAAUAAACCGGAGGAAGGUGGGGAUGACGUCAAAUCAUCAUGCCCCUUAUGACCUGGGCUACACACGUGCUACAAUGGUUGGUACAACGAGUUGCGAGUCGGUGACGGCAAGCUAAUCUCUUAAAGCCAAUCUCAGUUCGGAUUGUAGGCUGCAACUCGCCUACAUGAAGUCGGAAUCGCUAGUAAUCGCGGAUCAGCACGCCGCGGUGAAUACGUUCCCGGGCCUUGUACACACCGCCCGUCACACCACGAGAGUUUGUAACACCCGAAGUCGGUGAGGUAACCUUUUGGAGCCAGCCGCCUAAGGUGGGAUAGAUGAUUGGGGUG
rnacentral:rRNA from 1 species